AAACACUUGAAAAUGAGAACACGUGAAGAUAAAUCAAAGAAAAGAAAAUGCUUCACUGAAAAUGAAAUUCCCAUACAAAAUCUCAACCUUUCCACACUGCAAUCGUGAAACUUCAACCAGAUUUAACCAAAACGUAACUACAAUCAUGAAUCAUUUAAAUCCUUUUCGAACCCUAAACUUUCAGAUCGAAAAAAAUCCACCGUGCCGGUUUCUCUCAGGCCACCGCGAGCUUCAUCUCCUCCAAGGGUGAGUAUUUUUUUUACAUAAUCAAAUAGUUUUACUCCUAAUCUAACGUCAAAGUCUUGAUACUUUUUUGUGUGAAGUGUAUUGCUGUUAAACUGUUUGAUGAAAUGCCUUAUAGAAAAAUUUAUGACAUGUAUUUCUAAACUAGUGCAUUUCUACAUGUAUGUUUCAUACAAAUUCGAAUAGUGCAUGUUAAAAUCUCCCCAGGUGUUGGAUUUGGUAAUGAAUCACUUAACUGGACCAAUUCCUACAGAGAUUGGAAACUUAACUCUACUUGUGAACAUGUAGAAGAAAUUCAAUUAUGCUAGUGUCACCUUAGUAAACUUUUUUAAUAAUUGUUUGUUAGUAACUUCACCGGCUUGUCCUUGUAAGUUGUUGUUAUUUUGUAAUCGAUUCGCGCUUUCAGUUGUUAGCUUGUGUUUAUUCUGCCAUAGCAAAAUUGAUUUGAAGAGAAUAAUUUAUGUUUUGAUGUUUUCAUACUAAUUAUCUUGAAAAUAAUUGGAAAACUGAUUUUUGUAAACAAGGUGUUUGUUGAAAUGCCACAAUGAGUUUACUUAUGUUGAUUUUGAAUAUAACUUGAAAAUGUCUAGUUGCUUGAUAGGGUUAGAAUUGCAUAAGAGUAAAUCAAUUUUUGAGAAAGUUCUCAGCUGAAUGUGAUAGUCUCAAAGUUGGAAGCAUCUCAAAUCUCAUAUAGACAAUAUGUGAGGGGAGGGCCCUGAUAUCCGUUCUUAUUGUAGAAAUUGUCACAUGCAUGUAUGAACAUAAUCUCUAAUCUGUUUUAAGUUCCCCUCUAUGAUCCUCAGUCUGAUUCUGCGACCUUUGCAUAUGAAACUUUCUUAGGAACAGUUACAUUGUUCCACCAAGCUAUAUAUGACAUGUCUAUAAUAACACUACACUGCAAAUUUUUCAUUAAGAAAUAUACUCGUGCUGAGAGACAAAAAUUCUGUGUGCGCUUCUUGACAUAUUUGUUAGUUGGAUUUUGAAUGACAAAUGGAAGUUAUUACUGUAGAAAAGCCCUUAAAUAUAAACAAGAGAAUUUCAUUUUAAUGCUCCUGUUACACAUCUUGCAUCAUAGAUUCACUUUGUUGUAAAAGCCAAUGAUGUUGUUGGUUCACAAGUUAUCGGUGCAUUGGGAAUUCCGGUUGAGAACUUAUGUAAUGGUUCCAAACUUGAAGGCGUUUUCCCCAUUCUUAACACUAAUGGAAAGCCCUUUAAGACUAAUACAAUUUUGAGCUUAUCAAUUCAGUAUACUUCUGUUGAUAAGGUAACCCUUUAUAGAAACGGUGUCGGUGAGGAUUAUCUAUGUGUUCCUGAUACGUAUUUUCCACUUAGAAAAGGUGGAAAAGUUACACUUUAUCAAGAUGCUCAUGUUCCACAAGAAAAGGUGGAAAAGGACAUAUAGCUGGGUGAAACGACAGGAAGCUGGAACAAUCUAUACACAUCAUCAGAAGACAGAGGUCAACAUAAGAGAAAGAUUGUAGCUUUCAUUGAAGGUCUUGAUUUAUGUAUGGGAAGAUAUGAUACUCCUGAACAUUCUCUCUUUAGGACUUUGCAGACAGCACACAAAGAUGAUUUUUUAUAAUCAUAACUUUGAGUUCUCAACGGCGGUGCUACGGUUACGGCGUUCAAACGACGAGAGUGAUAUAAUCCUUUUUGGUACCAUUGAUGUAUAGUACAAGCUCCAAAAUGGCCAGAAGAAAAUACUAAUAUAAUGUCACCUGUAUUAUCCCAGCCAUUGGAACUUGGAGCAGGUAUAGGCAAUAUUAUAGCUCUGAAGUAUAAAUAGAUUACACAUCAUUUAACUUAAUUGCAUGCUAAGCUGGCCAAAACUUGCGAGAAAAGAAAAUCGUUGUUUUAACUUUUAAGUAAUUAACUAAUACUCUAAAAUCAUGAACUACAUAGGUGCAGUUGCUACAAUUAAAGGAAAAAAUGUGAAGUUACUACAACUAGUGAAGAGAAAUAUUUUUGACUCUUGGUUUAAAUUUGAGUAGUAAUGUUUUGUCCAUGGAAGCUGAAUGAAAAAUCUCAUUUUCUCUCUUCAUUGUAUGCUUCUUUAUGUAUAAAAGAAUUUGAAAUUUCUGAAGGAGCGAAGUAUGAACUUCUAUUCGAAAGUAUACAUUACACGGACCCUAAAAUUCACAUCACUAGCUGAUUUGACUUGAAUCAAAUUUCACUCUUGCUUUCUAUGUCAGCCAUCCCACUUCAAAAAAGGUGGAAGUAAAACAUUUGUCUUUAUCAUUAAUGCCCAAACUUUACCCUGUUGAAGCUGGUAAAAUUUUCCUGCGCAGAUAUUGUCAUGCACUCAGCUACGAAGUUUAUUGCUGGACAUUGUGAUAUUAUGGCUGGUGUGCUUGCUGUGAAAGGUGAAAGGUUGUAGCUCUUAUUUUAGGUUUACUGAUCUUCAUAUUUUAAAUAUAUUAAUAUAUUUUUGACAUUGUUGCUUUUUAAUCUGAAUUUUAUUCAUCCAUUGGAAAGCAUGUUUCAAUUGCUCGUGUAAUUUAUUUCACAAGAAAGGCAUUUCGGUUGAGGAAUUAGUGAUGAAUAUCCAAAAUACUCUCCGAGUUUCUUCCUAGUCCUGAUGGUGCAGAGGUGGCGUCUCCUGUUUUAAUAAUGGAAUGGUUCAUGAACUUUUAUGGUGCCGCAAAGAAUUGGAAAAGGAGACCAAUUGAGUGCAUAUGUCAAGCCGGGGAAGUCAUAUUUAUGCCGAAUGGAUUGUGGCAUUUGGUGAUCAACCUGGAGGAAUCUAUUGCCAUAAUACAAACUAUGUUAGCAGGUCUCCUAUCAGGUCAAUUGAACAAUUUGGCGAAAGGAGCCUAUCAGGUCAAUUGAACAAUUCGGCGAAAGGAUCCUAUAAAGAACAUCCACUGCAUUCAUUUCAACAUCUGCAACAGCAAGUGCAUUAGAUGGGUUUUCACUCAGUAACCUAAUAAUGCAGCAGUUAGAAUUAGUGCCUAUUUGUACCAAUAUUUACUACAUAAUUUCACUUUUAAUUUUUUUUGGCACAAGAUUGGGAAAUGUCAUUAUUAUUAUUGUUCUAAUGUUGUAUCUUAUUUAGUAGAAACAAUUCAUAUAUCUAGUGAAAGGGACCCAUAUUUUGUAAAUUCAUGAGUUUUCACAUUAAAUUAUUGCGUAAUAAAA